UGAGGAAUAUUGGUCAAUGGACGCAAGUCUGAACCAGCCAAGUAGCGUGCAGGAUGACGGCCCUAUGGGUUGUAAACUGCUUUUAUAUGGGGAUAAAGUGGGGAACGUGUUCCCUUUUGCAGGUACCAUAUGAAUAAGGACCGGCUAAUUCCGUGCCAGCAGCCGCGGUAAUACGGAAGGUUCGGGCGUUAUCCGGAUUUAUUGGGUUUAACGGGAGCGUAGGCCGUUUGGUAAGCGUGUUGUGAAAUAUACCGGCUCAACCGGUGGCUUGCAGCGCGAACUGGUCGACUUGAGUAUGCAGGAAGUAGGCGGAAUUCAUGGUGUAGCGGUGAAAUGCUUAGAUAUCAUGACGAACUCCGAUUGCGCAGGCAGCUUACUGUAGCAUAACUGACGCUGAUGCUCGAAAGUGCGGGUAUCAAACAGG
rnacentral:rRNA from 1 species